rnacentral:miRNA from 1 species
CAGGCUGGUUAGAUGGUUGUCU